CACAUGCAAGUCGAGGGGCAGCACGGUGUAGCAAUACACUGGUGGCGACCGGCGCAUGGGUGCGUAACGCGUAUGCAACCUACCCAUAACAGGGGGAUAACACUGAGAAAUUGGUACUAAUACCCCAUAACAUCAGGACCGGCAUCGGUUCUGGUUGAAAACUCCGGUGGUUAUGGAUGGGCAUGCGUUGUAUUAGCUGGUUGGUGAGGUAACGGCUCACCAAGGCAACGAUACAUAGGGGGACUGAGAGGUUAACCCCCCACAUUGGUACUGAGACACGGACCAAACUCCUACGGGAGGCAGCAGUGAGGAAUAUUGGUCAAUGGACGCAAGUCUGAACCAGCCAUGCCGCGUGCAGGAAGACGGCUCUAUGAGUUGUAAACUGCUUUUGUACGAGAGUAAACGCUCUUACGUGUAAGAGCCUGAAAGUAUCGUACGAAUAAGGAUCGGCUAACUCCGUGCCAGCAGCCGCGGUAAUACGGAGGAUCCAAGCGUUAUCCGGAUUUAUUGGGUUUAAAGGGUGCGUAGGCGGUUUGAUAA
rnacentral:rRNA from 1 species